CCCUUAGAUGUUCUGGGCUGCAUGCGCGCUACACUGAAGCUAUCAGCACGUUUUCCCUCCCUGAGAAGGGCGGGUAACCUUUUGAAUCAGCUUCGUGGUAGGGAUCGGGGCUUGCAAUUGUUCCCCGUGAACCAGGAAUUCCUAGUAGACGCGAGUCAUAAGCUCGCAUCGAUUAAGUCCCUGCCCUUUGUACACACCGCCCGUCGCUACUACCGAUUGAACGUUUUAGUGAGGCAUUUGGACCGACGCAUCUCAGUUUAACCGCUGGUUUGUGUUGGAAAGACUUCCAAACUUGAGCGUUUAGAGGAAGUAAAAGUCGUAACA
rnacentral:rRNA from 1 species